CCUACGGGAGGCAGCAGUCGAGAAUCAUUCACAAUGGGGGAAACCCUGAUGGUGCGACGCCGCGUGGGGGAAUGAAGGUCUUCUGAUUGUAAACCCCUGUCAUGUGGGAGCAAAUUAAAAAGAUAGUACCACACGAGGAAGAGACGGCUAACUCUGUGCCAGCAGCCGCGGUAAUACAGAGGUCUCAAGCGUUGUUCGGAAUCACUGGGCGUAAAGCGUGCGUAGGCUGUUUCGUAAGUCGUGUGUGAAAGGCGCGGGCUCAACCCGCGGACGGCACAUGAUACUGCGAGACUAGAGUAAUGGAGGGGGAACCGGAAUUCUCGGUGUAGCAGUGAAAUGCGUAGAUAUCGAGAGGAACACUCGUGGCGAAGGCGGGUUCCUGGACAUUAACUGACGCUGAGGCACGAAGGCCAGGGGAGCGAAAGGGAUUAGAUACCCGAGUAGUC
rnacentral:rRNA from 1 species